AAGAUGAUUAGGGUUAGUAGUCACCGGGGACGUCGACUAUCAGCAGGGGAGAGUGUAACCAGGUCAAAAGUUAUCAAACCAAUUACUGUACUGGUUAACUAAUGCUCUAGGAUAAGGGAAGUUACACCACAGACUGUUCCAGGGUUUUCUCAUUAAUUGAUAGAAUAGUACGCUAGCCCUUUAAGAAACGCGAUGUGUGACAUUCUGGAAGAAUCGCGAGAUUCUGCUGUGUACAGCGCGUGGUCACAACGUGAUUUGAAGUGCGGCUCAUGCGGUGGAGUGCUGAGGCCAUUAGACGCCGAUGUUACUGUUUAAAAAAAAAAAAGCACAUAUAGUAACUUGGAAGUCUCUCUUAGUGUGUUGUGAGGAUUGUGUGUUGUGCUGAGGGAACUUUGAAAUUCUGUCGACUCGAGAUGCAUACCUAUGUGGAGAAAUCCGAUCGACAAUAAAUCUCGAAGCAGGGGAGAGGAGUAUUCUUAAGGCCUCCUGAGUGUUUCCAGGCCGAGUGUGAAGCAACAGAAAGGAGAAUUGAGUUCAGCAUUCAAUGUGACAGUGUGUACAUGCUAUAAAGUGUGUUGAUGAACAGUAAGUUUAAUUUGAUUAUUAUAAUAAGAGUCAUUUGAUUAUUUCUUUGUGGAAUAUUAGAAUGUAUUAAUGUUACUGGGAAAUGUAACUUCAUUUUUACAUUUUUCAUGCAUCUUUUAUGUAAGAUAAGCAGCUUUAUUUGGUAUUCUGUGUUGACAAAUCUUGUAACAAUCUGUGUAUGUGUUUUUCAGAAUACGAGUCCACUAUCG